AUGUCGACGGACUCCGACUCCUCCUCUCGCGGCGGCGGCGGCGGCGGCACCUUCCGCGAGAUCACCCGGGACCGUUUAUUAAAUGAAAUGUUAAGAUCAACUAGGCAGAACAAAGGAUCCACAUGGAAGGUUCUUAUCAUGGAUAAACUUACUGUCAAGAUAAUGUCAUCUUCGUGCAAGAUGGGAGAUAUAACAGAUCAAGGGGUUUCAUUGGUUGAGGACCUAUACAAACGGAGGCAGCCAUUACCAUCAAUGGAUGCAAUUUAUUUCAUGCAACCUACGAAACAAAAUAUUGACAUAUUUAUGUCCAACAUGUCAGGGAAGCGUCCAUUGUACAAGAAAGCCUAUAUAUUUUUCAGUUCUCCCAUACAGAAAGAAUGGGUGGCUCAUAUAAAAAAAGAUUCAAGUGUUUUAGCACGCGUUGGUGCACUCAGUGAGAUGAAUCUGGAAUACUUCGCUAUUGAUAGCCAGGGCUUUGUAACUGACGAUGACAAGGCUCUAGAAGAGCUUUUCACAGAAAAUGCAGAAAGCUCAAUGAACUAUAAUUCAUGCAUUAACACGAUGGCCACUCGCAUUGCUACUGUAUUUGCAUCAAUGAAGGAAUUUCCUCGUGUGCACUAUCGUGUCGCUAGGACAAUUGAUGCUUCUACUUUGACAACUCUACGAGAUUUAGUCCCCACAAAGCUGGCAGCUUCUGUGUGGAAUUGCCUGGCGAGAUAUAAAUCAACAAUACCCGAAUUUCCUCAGACAGAAACAUGUGAAUUACUUAUUGUAGAUCGUUCAAUAGACCAGAUUGCGCCUGUUAUUCAUGAAUGGACCUACGAUGCCAUGUGUCAUGAUCUACUGUCCAUGGAUGGUAACAAAUAUGUGCAAGAGGUGCCAAACAAGAGUGGAUCAGGCACUGAGAAAAAAGAGGUUUUAUUGGAAGAUCAUGAUCCCAUAUGGUUUGAGCUUCGUGAUGUACAUGUAGCGGAUGCUAAUUUAAGACUGCAUGAGAAGAUGAGCGAUUUUAUAUCUAAAAAUAAAGCAGCUCAACUACACCAAGCAAGGACCAAUGGAGAGUUAUCAACAAAAGAAUUGCAAAAAAUGGUCCAAGCUCUUCCACAAUACAGUGAUCAAAUUGAUAAGCUUUCCCUCCAUGUUGAGAUUGCAGAAAAGCUCUUUGACAUAAUCAAACAACAGCAUUUGAAAGACGUUGGCCAGCUCGAGCAAGAUCUCGUGUUUGGCGAUGCUGGCUCGAAAGAACUAAUUGAUUUCUUUAGGACACAUCAGGAUAUAAGUCGUGAAAACAAGCUGCGUUUACUAAUGAUUUAUGCUGCAAUUAAUCCAGAGAAGAUCCAGAGUGAGAAGGGAGCAAAGCUGAUGCAGCUGGCUGGAUUAUCUGCUGAUGAUAUGAUCGCAGUGAAUAAUAUGCGUUGCAUAUGUGCGCAUGAAACUAAAAAGUCUUCAAAAGGUGGUUUUCCUCUAAAAUUUGAAAUACGUAAGAAAAAGCGUGGUAUCAGAAAAGAACGAAUAGGGGAAGAAUCAACAUGGACGUUGUCCAGGUUUUAUCCCGUCCUGGAGGAUUUGAUUGAGAAACUCAGUAAAGGAGAGCUUCCAAAAGAUGAGUACCAUUGUAUGAGUGACCCUAGUUCUAGCUUCCGUGGGAUCUCAAGCAGCAUGUCCGCUCGAACAAGCCCAGCUCAUCAACCAGCUCAAUCCAUGAGAUCUAGACGGACAGCUGGCACAUGGGCUAGACCUCGCAACUCCGAUGAUGGCUAUUCAAGCGACUCUGUACUGAAGCAUGCGUCGAGUGAUAUGAGGAAGCUGGGUCGGCGCUUGUUUAUCUUUGUAGUUGGGGGUGCUACCCGGUCCGAGUUACGUGCUGUCCACAAGCUGUCAUCGAAACUGAAGAGAGAAAUUAUCCUCGGCUCAUCUAGCCUUGAUGAUCCACCCAAAUUCAUCACGAAACUGAAGAUGAUGUCGAAUGAGGAGCUGUCGCUGGACGAUCUGCAAAUAUAA
rnacentral:rRNA from 1 species